rnacentral:rRNA from 1 species
CCUACGGGUGGCAGCAGUGGGGAAUAUUGCACAAUGUGGGGAACCCUGAUGCAGCGACGCCGCGUGUGCGAGGAAGUAUUUCGGUAUGUAAAGCACUAUCAGCAGGGACGAAAAAAGACGGUACCUGACUAAUGAGCCCCGGCUAACUACGUGCCAGCAGCAGCGGUAAUACGUAGGGGGCAAGCGUUAGCCGGAUUUACUGGGUGUAAAGGGAGCGUAGUCGGCAAGGCAAGCCAGAAGUGAAAGGGCAGGGCUCAACCCUGGACAUGCUUUUGGAACUGUGGUGCUAGAGUGCAGGAGAGGUGAGUAGAAUUCCUAGUGUAGCGGUGAAAUGCGUAGAUAUGAGGAGGAACACCAGUGGCGAAGGCGGCUUACUGGACAGUAACUGACGUUGAGGCUCGAAAGCGUGGGGAGCAAACAGGAUUAGAUACCCGUGUAGUC